UACUCGAGUGGCGAACGGGUGAGUAACACGUGGGUGAUCUGCCCUGCACUUCGGGAUAAGCUUGGGAAACUGGGUCUAAUACCGGAUAGGAGCCAUCUUUAGUGUGGUGGUUGGAAAGUUUUUCGGUGUAGGAUGAGCUCGCGGCCUAUCAGCUUGUUGGUGGGGUAAUGGCCUACCAAGGCGGCGACGGGUAGCCGGCCUGAGAGGGUGUACGGCCACAUUGGGACUGAGAUACGGCCCAG
rnacentral:rRNA from 1 species